UCGGUCACCUUGAGCUUAAGGGGAGGUUAGUAUGUUGUGUUAAAUUCUUAAGUUUUAAACUUGUUUCUAGUUAAUUAGCAAAUUUCUUACACAAACCAUGGCAAAAUUUCGAAAUCUCGGUGAUGGCUUGAGCAUUCGGUUUUGGUUGUUGAAAGGAAUGAGUUGGAGGUUGGAUCAUGCUAAGAUUCGGCCUUGUACAUAAACAUUAAGAGUUUGAUGUUUUUGCGAUUUUUGGAAGGUAAAUAAGGUUAUACACAAGAUAAAUACUAAGAUUUUGGUUGACUUGUUUUAGUGAGGUUCGGCCAAGGACCUUAUGUGCAAGUUUAUUCGGUUUAAGUAGAGAAAAUGUGACGGAUAGAUAUGAAGUAAUGUGUAUAUUGGUUCGGCUGCUAAGCAAGGAAAUAAUUGUUAGUAACAUAGUAUCUAUGCACUUAUGUAUAUAUAUGUAUGUACAAAUAACCUAUUUAGCUAUGGAUAUCUAAGGUGUUAAAUAAUGAAAUUCUUGAUGACUUGGGUUAAAUAGCAUUCGGCCAAGGACUAUAUGGGCUUGUUAAUUCGGUUUAAGUGAAGAAACUAUGAUAGAGAAAUAUGACUAAAUUGUGGACUUUGACAAUUUAAAUGAUGCAUUUGACUUGUGUACCGACCUAGGACGAUAUGUGUUUCUAUAUGAAGUUAGAUGGUGUUGAUGAAGUUCGGUAAUGCAUGAUGUUUAAAUAGUAUUGAGCAAGGUCAUUGUACUUAAAUUGUAUGACAUACAUGUAUUGAAUGGAAUUGCCCAAGUGAAAAUAUUAAAUGAAUUUAUUUGUUUAAAUUAAGCUCAAGAGCAAAGGGGAUCUAAAUCCAAUAAAGGGAAGGAAAAAGUGAUCGAAUAGCCGCCGAAAUCGUUCGACCACAUCUGAGGUAAGUUUUAAGUGAUUAAAUGUUGAGUAAAUUCAGUCAUAAUAGGACAUAAUGAGUUGAUUUAAUAAGAUAUGAUGUGGCCAUGAUAUGUCUUAAACUCAAAUGGUAAGUUCAUAAGUGUUUGGACUUGGAAAUUUAAGAGCAAAUUGUAAUAAUUUGCUUUGGACAGCAGCAGUAACGUGAUUUUAGAAAAUCACUAUAAAUUGUUGGUGUGGAAUUAUAGGCUGAAUAAAAUAUGUAAUCAAAUCUUAUUUAGUCUAGUUUCUUAUAAAAGAGACCGUGGAAGCAAAGAAAUUUCCUAUAAAGAGAUAUUUAAAGUUGUGUGAGACGGUGUCAGAAUGACUCCGAAAUCCCCUAUUCUGUUUUUAGAAAAUCAUUAUAAAUUGUACAAAAAUGGUUAUAAGAUAAAAUUUAUAUUCUUAGACUCCUUAAUGAGUCUAGUUUCAAAUGAAAUCAAAUACAACACAUUUUAAAUUCUGUAAAAUGAGAAAUUUGAUUCGUAGUGAAGAGUGGUCAGAUUAGUCAAACAGUGAAACAGGGGAAACUUUAAGAAAAAUCUGGUAUUGAUUGGCCAAACCUAAAAUUCUGAAAAUUUUAUGGAUGGAAGAUAUACGAGUCUAUAUUCAGGGAAAAUUAACGGAAAGUGAUUUGGAGUUUUGUAGCUCCAGUUAUAAAUAAUUUAGUGACUACUGCUCAGGAAAACAGCUCGUAGUGAAUAUGUGAUUUUGUUGUAAACAUGGAUAAAACUUGUUUUAGUUACUCAUAAGCUAUUGAUUAAACCCAUACGUGAAUUCUAAAUCGUGAUAUUGUAAAACGAUACAUGAGUGUUAGAUGGAUCUUUGAUAUUAAAAUUUGUGAAAUUGUAAGUUUAUGAGUAUUCGAAUAUGAAAUGAUAGUAUGGCGUGAAAUUGAAUUAUUCAUUGGGAAAUGAUUAAUGUAGAUUCGGCCAAGACAAAGUGUAUACAUGAUAGUAUAUGUGAUAUGUGAAGUAUAUUUGGAUAAUUGUGAUGUGAAUGUAUAUAUAUGUGAUAAGGCCUAAUGGCCGAUGUGAUGAAUGUGAAAGUGUAUAUAUGUGAUAAGGCCUAAUGGCCGAUGUGAUGAAUGUGAAAGUGUAUAUAUGUGAUAAGGCCGAAUGGCCAAUGUGAUGAAUGUGAAAGUGUAUAUAUAUGUGAUAAGGCCUAAUGGCCGAUGUGAUGAAUGUGAAAGUGUAUAUAUGUGAUAAGGCCUAAUAGCCGAUGUGAUGAAUGUGAAAGUGUAUAUAUGUGAUGAGGCCUAAUGGCCGAUGUGAUGAAUGUGAAAGUGUAUAUAUAUGUGAUAAGGCCUAAUGGCCGAUGUGAUGAAUGUGAAAGUGUAUAUAUGUGAUAAGGCCUAAUAGCCGAUGUGAUGAAUGUGAAAGUGUAUAUAUGUGACAGGGCCGAGUGGCCAACGUGAUGGAUGUGAAAGUGUAUAAGUGUGAUAAGUCCCGAAGGGCAAUUGUGUCAGUACUAUAUCCGGGUUAAAACCCCACAGGCUUUAUGCGAGAGUAUUAUCCUGAUUAAUGUCCGUAGGCUUCGUGCUCGUACUAUAUCCGAGCUUUAAAGACCCGACGGCUAAAUGCUAGGAUUCAAGUAAGACUUUGAUAUUGAGUAUCUGCAUUAAGUUACCAUCAAAUAAGUAUUAUGUAUUCAAGAUGUUCAGGUACGUAUUACUUACUCAUCGGUGGAGUGAUUUCGAGGUGAAUUAUCAGUAUCAAAGAGGUAGGUAAAUGUGAUUAAUAUUAUAACUCCAAAUGUGAGAAUGUGCUUGGAAAUAUUUGACCAUCUAGGUCAUUAUUAUUCGAAAGUAUAUAUGUGGCAGCCAAGUGUUGCGUUUAAUGAUAUUAUAGAUCGAGAUGAAGCUCUAGAUUAACUUCAUCGAACAGUUGAAAUGAAUGACCAAUAAUAGUGAUUGAGAACACUUUGUCUUGCUUAAAACUUACUAAGCAUUAAAUGCUUACUCCGUUCUUUGAAUCUCUGUUUUAUAGAUUUUGGUUCGUCAGCUAUCGGACUCGGGGUUAUUGAAGUCGAAGUCGCCCACACUAUCAAAGCCCUUUUGGUACACUUUUGGUUGAACUCUGAAAAUGGCAUGUAAAGGAC
rnacentral:lncRNA from 1 species